UGGGGAAUUUUGGACAAUGGGCGAAAGCCUGAUCCAGCAAUGCCGCGUGAGUGAUGAAGGCCUUCGGGUUGUAAAGCUCUGUCUUUUGGGACGAUAAUGACGGUACCAAAGGAGGAAGCCACGGCUAACUACGUGCCAGCAGCCGCGGUAAUACGUAGGUGGCAAGCGUUGUCCGGAUUUACUGGGCGUAAAGGAUGCGUAGGCGGAUUUUUAAGUGAGAUGUGAAAUACCCGGGCUUAACUUGGGUGCUGCAUUUCAAACUGGGAAUCUAGAGUGCGGGAGAGGAGAAUGGAAUUCCUAGUGUAGCGGUGAAAUGCGUAGAGAUUAGGAAGAACACCAGUGGCGAAGGCGAUUCUCUGGACCGUAACUGACGCUGAGGCAUGAAAGCGUGGGUAGCAAACAGGAUUAGAUACCCUGGUAGUCCACGCCGUAAACGAUGAGUACUAGGUGUAGGAGGUAUCGACCCCUUCUGUGCCGCAGUUAACACAAUCAAGUACUCCGCCUGGGAAGUACGAUCGCAAGAUUAAAACUCAAAGGAAUUGACGGGGUC
rnacentral:rRNA from 1 species